UUAUGAUUCAUAAUCAUUUUAUAAUAUUAUAUCAAUAUAAAUAUCAGAAAUAUUAUUUGAACUGAUAGGUCAGUCACCCAUGGCCAUUUCUUACUUCCAAUUUGCACACGAGGGAAAAACGUAAUAAAAUGCCUUUGCCUGUUAUGUACUGCAUUAUUUGUUUUUUUUUAGCAUUAAUGACAUGUGUUGCAGCCAAUUCCUAAAUUUUUAGAUAAUGGAUAUACUGGAUGAUCUACAGAUGAUUCUUAAAAACGUUGCGUCCCAAGGGAUGCAAUGCCUCAAUACUUAAGCGUCCUAUCUUAAAUAUCAUGCAUAUAGGAUGCAGAAUAUUGUGUCCCGUAAAACCCUGAUUAUGAUUUCAAACAGAUUGUCCAUCACUACUUGCUUGUUUUAUGUUUGGCCCAAUUUAUAUUUAGGAUUCAUCAUGGUUUUCGAAAAUAUGCUUGUGCUGAAAAGUGAAAUUUCUUUGAAUAAUGAUUUACAUUAUAGAAUGCAACCCCAUUACUAUUAAUUAAGUUAGCCACAUUACAUUGGACAUAAAGCCACAAGACUGAUGGAAAGGAAGUAUGUAUGUUAUCCAAUCCAAUUCCAGCUUACAUAUCGUGUUGUCCUAUCCAAUGUCAGCUUACAUCUUAUGUUAUCCAAUCCAAUCCCAGCUUACAUCUGAUGAUCACAUACAUGUGGAAGAUGUAGGAUGUUGUCUUAUGUGAAUUAAUUUGUUGGACUGGUGAAACCUGAUAAUUUCUGAAUUAUUCUAGUUUUUGUCCCAAGAUGUUUGAAGUCUUUUUCCAUUCAAGUGUCCAUUUCAGAGUUUUACUGAUAUAUGUCAUUUUGGAAAAUAUCCAGUGUGCUGUCAUUUCUCAAAGUGAAAAAGAAAAAGAACAUUUUGGAUUCAGAUUUCACUCAAUUACAUGUGUAGAAAGAGUUACUUCCUUUUGUUGUCUACAUGCAAUUUCUUUCUUCUGUGACUAGAGACUGAUCCUCAGUGAGGUGAUUGAGAAUGUGUCAGUUCUAUACCAUUUCUUUUAUUACAUGACAUGUCAUUGUCAUUGAUUGGGGUACUACAGUAUGUCAUCAGAAUCUCUUUCUGCGGAUGAUAAUCCUUCUGGAUUUUUAUUAUUUCAUUGCGACUUUGAGUUCUCACAAGCAUGCUCCUACUGUGCUGACUUUGACAUGGAUGUAUUGGAGCUGUUCAUUAAUGGCCUAAACUGCCUGACAUUUUUCUCUCUUGAUGAAAUGCAUGCAUGUAUAUUUUUCUGUGAUCUUUAUCAAUACAAGUACAUCAGAUAUGGACGAGAAUAACCAAAUUGGUUUGAGGUAAUUUAAUAUAAUACUGUGUAUGAAUUACAAUAAUCAGCAAAUUUGAGCAAUAUACUCCUCAGCCAAUAUAUUUGACCAUGUCUGUUUUUUAUAACCGACCAUGAAUACUUGACUUCAGUAGAAAGGUAAAUUUCCAGAACUGGGCAGGGUCAGAUAAUUAAUACACGUAAAUGCCAUUAGUAUCACAAAACAUUUACCUAUAAUAUUUGACAUAGAGAUGAUCACUGCAGUAUAGGCCUACCAACACUCAGCCCGGGUCUUCAGCUGAUAUUGGAAUCUUUGGUUGAUAAAGACUUGAUAUAAAAAUGACAGUGUAUUAAAUAUUCUAUAUUAAUUUUUCAUUCUAUUUAAUGUAGAAAUAUGAAUGACUAUAAUAUUCAGUAUAAUUGUUAUUGUGCCAGGAUGCCUGAGUUUGGCUGGGCCACAAUUAAAGGGCUGCCACGUGGGUUGCGGUGGCCAGUAGAAGUACGAUCACGAAAAAGGGGUGGAUCAGGAGAGGUGGAUGUGUAUUGCCUGAGCGAUGACACUGUAGAUUCUUGCAAAGAAGAAAUUUUUCAAACUCAGAACAUCAUACCAAGCAGACUUUAAGUGGGCACAAGCAGGAGUAACCAGUAAUGAUGAAUUAGACCCACCACAGGCAGCAGGCUCUGCACCAGGAUGCUGUGAGGAAAGCCCCACACCAGGACUCGAUGAGGAACGUCCCACACCAGGACGCUGUGAGGAAAGUCGCACACCAAGACACUUUGAGGAAAGUCCUGCUCCAGGACGCUGUGAGGAAAGUCCCACACCAGGACACUCUGAGGAAAGUCCUGCACCAGCACGCUCUGAGGAAAGUCCCGCCCAAGGACGCUGUGAAGAAAGUCCCACACCAAGACGCUCUGAGGAAAGUCCCACACCAGGACACUCUGAGGAAAGUC